UACGUAGGGUGCAAGCGUUGUCCGGAAUUAUUGGGCGUAAAGAGCUCGUAGGCGGUUUGUCACGUCGGCCGUGAAAACCUGGGGCUUAACUCUGGGCGUGCGGUCGAUACGGGCAUCACUAGAGUUCGGCAGGGGAGACUGGAAUUCCUGGUGUAGCGGUGAAAUGCGCAGAUAUCAGGAGGAACACCGGUGGCGAAGGCGGGUCUCUGGGCCGAUACUGACGCUGAGGAGCGAAAGCAUGGGUAGCGAACAGG
rnacentral:rRNA from 1 species